UACGGAGGAGGCAAGCGUUAUCCGGAAUUAUUGGGCGUAAAGCGUCCGUAGGUGGUUUAGUAAGUCUGCUGUUAAAGCGCGGGGCUUAACUCCGUAUCGGCAGUGGAAACUACUAGACUAGAGUGUGGUAGGGGUAGAGGGAAUUCCCAGUGUAGCGGUGAAAUGCGUAGAUAUUGGGAAGAACAUCGGUGGCGAAAGCGCUCUACUGGACGGCAACUGACACUCAGGGACGAAAGCUAGGGGAGCGAAUGGG
rnacentral:rRNA from 1 species